GUGAUGGAAACACCUGGUCCCAUUCCGAACCCAGAAGUUAAGCAUCAUGGAGCCAAAGGUAGCGCAAGCAAGAAUAGGAAAAUAUCACGC
rnacentral:rRNA from 1 species